UUUUUUUUCCUUAGCAGAUCGAAUUCUUUUGGUUUAGUGGAUUAAUUGUAUAUUUGUUUGGGUAUUAUAAUUGCUCAGCAUCGUGAAUUCCGUUUUAUGUAACUUUCUGCCUUUUUAUGAAAACCACAACUCACAUCAAGCCUACCGCUCUGGCAAAGAGCCCCGCCCUCUCUGGCAAGAGGUCCCGCCCCUUCUUUCGGGCCCCGCCCAUCCUGCAUUUGCUAAAGCCACGGGAGGCGGGGAAAAGAGAGAGGCACAACCACCGCGAGACUUAAACCGUCUUCUACCGGGACCUCAGGGACGGGACAUGCGCAGAGGUGCUUUUUGAAGCCAACACCGGAAAGAGGGGCGGAGCGUCCCGACUGGUCCUGCGCGUUCGCCUGGAGCGAGCGCUCCUGCUGGCCUCCUCAGCUGGCGCUGGCGGCUUCCGGCCUGGGUGCCAGGCUUCACCCAGCGUGCAGCGCGCAUGCGCAACUCCCGCAGGUGAGUGUGGCGACUGUGGGCCCGGGAUCUGCAGCCUGCGAGGAGGGCCGGGCCCGGCGACAGGUGCCUGCAGAGCGGCUGAGAAUUCACAUUUACUUAUCAAGAAAGUGGAAGCGUGAAAAUGAGCAGCCGAAGGAAACGUGCUCCCCCGAUGAAGGUCGAUGAAGAAAGGCAACAGCAGCUUCACUGGAACAUGCAUGAGGACCUGAGGAGUGAGCCGCUCACCAUGACGGUCGGGGAACAGGCCUGUUCAGAUGCAGACUCUUCUUCUGAUUGCAUCAUCAUCGAUGAAGGCCCUCCUGAGAGUGCACUUCACAGAGAUAAGAAGAGGCGUUCAGAGACUGUGAGCGUCUUAGAGGCCACCGAGGAAGAGACCCGUUUGUCUGUGACUUUGAAUGUUACAGUUUCUCCCUAUCGUGUGGAUAAUUCUUGGAAAGCAUUUCUGGGAGAUUUUGCUCUUCAGCUUCUCCCCAAAGAGAGUUUAGUUGAACAUUUUUCUGAAAGGACUUUUACAUUGAGUCCUUCAGAGUCAAGCAGUCAGUUCCUGAUCUAUGUUCAUUCAGAAUGUAAAAAUGUAGAGAAACAAGAAAAUGUUCUUGAAGGAUCAGCCGGUGUUUGUAGCAAGGGAAUCCGAGUGGAAUCCUCCUUCAGUAGUGACAUGUUACAGGAUUUGGCCUGGCUACAGAAGAGAAGAGGAAUAAAACUCUACCAGAGACCAGACGGCACUCACACAAUCAAGGUUGGAAUUUACAUUUUGGAAGCUGGCCUAACAAGACUAGACUUCAUGAGUGAUGCAGGUUCCAGAAUGAAAAAGUUCAAUCAGCUCAUGAAGAGAGUGAUGGAAAAGUUACAUAAUUUCAUUAUUCCAGAUGUGCUGGAAGAAGAGGAGGAGGGUUCAGAGAGCGAGCCCGAGGGUCAGGAUAUUGAUGAGCUCUAUCACUUUGUGAAGCAAACACACCAGCAAGAAACACGGUCAGUCCAAGUGGACGUCCAGCACCCUGCGUUGAUUCCGGUCCUGAGACCUUACCAGAGAGAGGCAGUCAACUGGAUGCUGCAGCAAGAGCAGUUCAGAAGCGCUCCUCCUGCUGAUAACUCCCUGCACUUCUUAUGGCGAGAAAUUGUUACACCUGAUGGCUUGAAACUCUACUAUAAUCCAUAUACAGGCUGCAUCAUUCGAGAUUUCCCACAUGCGGGUCCACAGUUGCUUGGUGGAAUCUUAGCAGAUGAGAUGGGUCUUGGAAAGACAGUGGAGGUUCUGGCUCUGAUUCUGACACAUACCCGACAAGACGUCAAGCAGGACGCUCUCACCCUUCCUGAGGGAAAAGUGGUAAAUUAUUUCAUCCCAACUCACUGUCCUAGAGAAAAAGUGAAAAAUAGAGAAAUCCAGGAUACAGAAUAUGAACCAAAAGAGAAAGUUCACUGCCCUCCUACACGUGUGAUGAUCCUGACAGCUGUGAAAGAAAUGAAUGGGAAGAAAGGAGUUUCUAUUCUUUCUAUCUAUAAGUAUGUCAGCUCCAUAUUCAGAUAUGAUGUUCAGCGGAACCGGGGUCUUCUGAAGCGGAUGUUGAAAUGUUUAAUCUUUGAAGGUCUUGUGAAACAGAUCAAAGGCCAUGGUUUCUCUGGGACUUUUACACUGGGGAAGAAUUACAAAGAAGAUGUAUUUGAUAAAACAAAAAAGCAGGCAGUAGGGAGUCCAAGGAAAAUUGAGAAGGAAUUGAGGAAAUCAGUGAACAAGGAUGCAGAUUCUGAGUACCUGCCAUCAAACACUUCUGAUGACGAUGAGCCUUACUAUUAUUACUGUAAGGCGGGAAAAAGCCGGAGUAAGUUGAAGAAGCCUGCUUUACUAACUAAAAAGGGAAAGGGUCAGUCUGUUCAUCUGGAUUCCCAAGGUGAUGCUCCAGCUGCUGGAGUCUGUGCAAGUACUGAUGUUCAUGUGUCAGAAAAUACAUGUGUCUCUGAAGACAAGCAAACCCAAGAAGCAAAAGACUGUGCUGAGUCGCCAAACCCUGCUGCCGAGGAGUUGGCACAGUCUAACACUUCAAGUCCUUGUGAAACCUCUGAUUACCGCUUUGAGUGUAUAUGUGGUGAAUUUGAUCAAAUUGGCCACAAGCCAAGAGUUCAAUGUCUGAAGUGUCACCUGUGGCAGCAUGCAAAGUGUGUGAAUUAUGAGGAGAAAAACCUGAAGGUUAAGCCUUUUUACUGCCCCCACUGUCUUGUUGCGAUGGAGCCAGUAUCAACAAGAGCAACUCUGAUCAUCUCUCCGAGCUCCAUUUGCCACCAGUGGGUGGAUGAAAUCAAUCGGCACGUGAGGUCAUCAUCUCUCCGAGUUCUGGUAUAUCAAGGAGUGAAGAAACACGGCUUCUUACAGCCUCAUUUUUUGGCAGAACAAGAUAUAGUUAUCAUUACCUAUGAUGUUCUUCGUUCAGAACUAAACUAUGUCAAUAUCCCACAUAGCAAUAGUGAAGAUGGGCGUCGCCUGAGGAACCAGAAGCGCUAUAUGGCCAUUCCCAGCCCCUUGGUAGCGGUGGAAUGGUGGAGGAUCUGCCUUGAUGAAGCUCAGAUGGUCGAGUGUCCUACAGUAAAAGCCGCGGAAAUGGCCCAGCGUUUGAGCGGGAUUAAUCGGUGGUGCAUCAGUGGCACUCCAGUUCAGAGAGGAUUGGAAGAUCUUUUUGGGCUGGUGGUCUUUCUUGGAAUUGAACCUUAUUGUGUCAAACACUGGUGGAUUCGGCUUCUCUAUCAUCCAUACUGCAAGAAAAAUCCUCAGCACCUGUACAGUUUUAUUGCCAAGAUAAUGUGGAGGUCUGCAAAGAAAGAUGUCAUUGACCAAAUCCAGAUUCCACCUCAGACUGAAGAAAUGCACUGGCUCCAUUUUUCCCCGGUGGAGAGGCAUUUCUAUCACCGCCAGCACGAGGUGUGCUGCCAGGAUGCCAUAGUGAAGCUCAGGAAGAUCUCUGACUGGGCCCUGAAGCUCAGCAGCUUGGACAGGAGAACUGUCUCCUCCAUCCUCUACCCACUGCUGAGGCUCCGGCAGGCCUGCUGCCAUCCACAGGCUGUUCGUGGGGAAUUCUUGCCACUCCAGAAGAGCACCAUGACAAUGGAAGAGUUGCUGACAUCUCUGCAGAAGAAAUGUGGAACGGAAUGUGAAGAGGCCCACCGACAACUAGUUUGUGCCCUUAACGGCUUAGCAGGCAUUCACAUCAUUAAAGGUGAAUAUGCCUUGGCAGCGGAGCUCUACAGAGAAGUAUUACGUUCAUCUGAGGAGCACAAAGGAAAACUCAAAACUGAUUCCCUUCAAAGACUGCAUGCCACACAUAACUUAAUGGAGCUGUUGGGAGCCAAACACCCAGGAAUACCUCCCACCUUGAGAGAUGGCAGACUUGAAGAAGAGGCCAAGCAGCUGCGAGAGCACUAUAUGAGUAAGUGUAACACAGAAGUUGCCGAAGCCCAGCAAGCUUUGCAGCCUGUGCAGCAGUCCAUUAGGGAGCUCCAAAGGAAGAUUCAUUCUAAUUCUCCUUGGUGGCUGAAUGUAAUCCAUAGAGCAAUGGAAUUUUCUGUUGAUGAGGAACUUGUUCAGCGGGUGCGAAAUGAAAUAAGCAGUAACUACAAGCAACAAACUGACAAGCUGUCUAUGUCAGAGAAGUUCCGUGACUGCAGAGGUCUUCAGUUCUUACUUACAACACAAAUGGAAGAGCUCCAUAAGUUCCAGAAGCUGGUGAGGGAGGCUGUGAAGAAGCUGGAGAAGCCUCCAUCCCGGGAGGUGAUUGAGUCUGCAACAGUUUGCCACCUGCGGCCAGCUAGACUCCCUCUCAACUGCUGCGUCUUUUGUAAAGCUGAUGAAUUGUUCACAGAGUAUGAAUCAAAGCUAUUUUUUAACACAGUCAAAGGCCAGACUGCAAUCUUUGAAGAAAUGAUAGAAGAUGAAGAAGGACUUGUAGAUGAUAGAGUACCUACCACUACCAGAGGUCUGUGGGCCGUAAGUGAGACGGAGCGAUCUAUGAAAGCAAUAUUAUCAUUUGCAAGAUCACAUAGGUUUGAUGUUGAAUAUGUAGAUGAAGGAAGUGUUUCAAUGGAUCUCUUUGAGGCAUGGAAGAAGGAAUAUAAGUUACUUCAUGAAUACUGGAUGACUCUGAGAAAUCGUGUAUCUGCUGUUGAUGAACUUGCAAUGGCUACAGAGCGACUAAGAGUGCGCCAUCCCAAAGAGCCAAAGCCAAACCCACCCGUCCAUCACAUCAUUGAACCACACGAGGUUGAACAGAAUCGUAUAAAACUGGUGAAUGAUAAAGCUGUUGCUACAUCACAGCUUCAGAAGAAACUUGGACAGCUUCUUUACCUAACGAAUUUGGAGAAGUCUCAAGAUAAAACAUCAGGAGGUAUUAAUCCAGAGCCUUGUCCAAUCUGUGCUCGACAGCUGGGAAAACAGUGGGCAGUGCUGACCUGCGGACACUGCUUCUGUAAUGAAUGCACUUCGAUUAUAAUUGAACAGUACAGUGUGGGGUCUCAUCGAAGUUCCAUCAAGUGUGCUAUCUGCCGCCAGACCACAUCACACAAAGAAGUCUCCUAUGUCUUCACCUCAGAGAAGGCAAACCAAGAGGAUGAUAUCCCUGUGAAGGUAUGGGUAGCCAUUCUACAAAAGUGGAAGCUGUGGUCAGAACUCUGAUGAAAAUACAACUUAGAGAUCCAGGGGCCAAAGCGCUCGUUUUCUCAACGUGGCAAGAUGUAUUAGAUAUUAUUUCAAAAGCUCUCACGGACAACAACAUGGAAUUUACACAAAUCAGUCGCAUUAAGACAUUCCAGGAGAACCUCUCAGCGUUUAAAUACGAUCCCCACAUCAAUAUUCUGCUGCUGCCCCUGCACACAGGCUCUAAUGGAUUAACUAUCAUUGAAGCCACCCAUGUCCUCCUGGUGGAGCCCAUACUGAACCCUGCCCAUGAGCUGCAGGCCAUUGGGAGAGUGCACCGAAUUGGACAGACCAAACCUACUAUUGUACAUAGAUUCUUAAUUAAAGCAACAAUAGAAGAACGGAUGCAGGCAAUGCUAAAAACUGCUGAGAGGAGCCACACAAGCUCAUCCGGAAAGCAUUCUGAAGCCUCUGUGUUGACUGUGGCUGGCCUGGCUGACCUGUUUACCAAGGAGAACGAGGAGCUUGAAUGAAGCCGUCACAUCAUUCCACACAAUGUUAAGAUAGAACUUCACUUCCAGAGAUGUCAAGAGAGUUACAAAUUAAAAACAAAAAAUCAGUAAAUAUUAGUAAAUACUAUUUUAAGUUGAAUGAAUUUAUUUUGUUAUACUCUAGCCUAGUAAUAAUUGGCAAUUGGUUCCUUUUCACUAUACCGAUUUCACACCAUUUACAAUGAAUUUUAACUUUACACUCCUAAUAGAACAUUAAUUUUUUUGUUCCACUUGUAUAUCUAUUACUAAUAAGGCAGGGGAAUUAAGAAAAGGGGUAUUAAAUAAUUUUUCCAUUAGUAGAUAGAUGUUUGUUAUAACAGGAGAGAAUAUAUAAGAAGGUUACUUAGUCUAGUUUUGUAUGACCUGAUGUGUACAGCCAGUGUAAAUAACAUUUUUGAAAGGGCCUUCAGCAUCUUUAGCAUAGGAUUCACCAUUAUAUUCUCAGUAAUGUUUUAAGAAAAUGCUAAACUAUAUAAUAAGUAGUUAUUUGCAUGAGUUUAAACUGUAACACUGUCAUUAGCUCCUAAUAAUAAAUCACUAGGUGGUUAUAUUGUGUUUUGUUACUAAAUGUUAAAAUACUGAAAAAUUCAUUUUUCUAUUAUGUUUAAGUGGUAUCAUUGUUAAUAUUUUUAAGUGGAUUAACAUUUACCUACAAUGAUCUCUUUAACCUUUUUAGUAAGUUUUUUUUGUGUAUGUGUUUUAAGAUGAUGUAUCUGUAAAUAUGGCUUUUUAAAAAUCAUCAUUGUACUGAAUUCAUUUCUUGUGUUCCUGUAACUAGUCAUUUUAGCCACUAGUUAUCUAAACCUACAAUAGAGUUUAUUCAUUUCAGUUACUCUGUUCUUAGAAACUAACUAGUGUUUGAUCUACUACAAGAGAACGCUGUGUUCACACAUGCAUAAACUGUAAGUGGUUAAACUCUCUCUUCUGUGAAGAAUUCAUGGAUGACUUUGAAAUUACAAAAUAAGAAGUAGCUUGUUGUAUCCUAGCCUUGUGUUGGAAUAUAAAUGUUCUUGUUUCCUUCCCUUUAGCUGUUGAAAUCAAGGGACCCUCAAGGUUCAUUAGCUCCUACCUAACUGUCCAUAAAACUGUACUAGAAGUAGUUCCUGGGUCUCCUUUAUCCCGUGAGCUCUGGUGCUUAAGCUAAGGUGCAUUUUCUUAUCCAGGUUUAUAGGUGACAGGUCAGCUGAAGAAGACACGUUUUUUGGGUGCUUAUUCUUUAGUUGAAGGGAGAUAUACAUUGAUUCUUUUAUAUGAAAUUAAACAUAAUAUUUUUACAGCUCUUUUACAUUCACUAAGAGCUUUUCUGUGUAUUCAUGUGGUUAAUAUUCACAACAGUCCUGUGAAAUGGAUAUGAUUAAUGAUAUUCCUAUUUUGAAGGUAAAGAUCUAAUGCUCAGGAGGAAACUCGCCUAUGAUAUGUAGCAAACAGACAGAGCAGUCCAGGCCCCCUGGCUUCAUGUCUACUGUUCUUCCACCGAGUUGUGUGCCAUGCUGGGGUUCAGAAGCCUUGUGGGUAUGACUUAGAAUGGGAUUGUGUAAGUACUUAUUUUUGUUUCCUAAUAUUUCAUGUGCUAUGUUCUAGGAAAAACAAUUUGAUAUGCUUCAAUUAGAAAAUAACAUAGAUAUCUAUACUGAUCAGUAUUAGAGGAAAACUAUUCUUAUUUAUUUCAGUAAGAUACCUCAAUUAAAUAAAUAUUUUAGUGGAAAAUGAAAUUAUGGAUUGUUUUAUUUCUAAGGUUUAGAUCAUAUGAACUUUGGUUUUUAUUGACUCAACAGAUAGUAUCAAAUUGCCAAUUCUACACUAUUCCAUAUUUUAUUUACAUUUGUCAUGUCUUCUAAACAAUUAUGAUAAUACUACUACUUCAGAACUAAUGAGUCCACAUAUAUAAUAAAUACCCACAUCUUGGCUGCAAACAAAAGAAAUUUUAGAUUCCUUUCUCAAUAAUUUUAUAUUCUCUGAAAUAUCACAGUAUGGCACUGUGCUAGCAAACCACUGAGGAUGAGUGAAAUGCCCAGUCCUUACAGUUUAAAUGUAUUUCUAUUUAGGGAAUUGUUUUUCAAGUAACUCCAGAUGAAUUUACUAGGACUGAAGAUUUAUCUAUGUAAAUUGUAAACAUCCCACAAACUGGGCUUAAAAUCCAAGUAACUUUACUGUGUCUAUUGCAUCAAUAUUUCUCUUUCUAUAUGAUCUUAAGGUAGGUAAAGGACCAUUUUUAGAAAUUGGUCCUUUUGGAAAGUAUAACUCAGUCUUUUUAAAUGCUUAGUAUGUAUAAAUCUCUGGAUUUCAGACCCCUCAAUCCCUUUCACAUCUUUAAUAACAUUAAUAAUCUCAACAUAGAACCAGUGCUCAACAAGCAGUACAUAACAAAAGCAACUACUUAUAAAUAUCUAGCAGGUUGUGACUAAUCAUCAGCUGAAAACCUCUUCCAAGGGACAAAAGCAAAAAUGUCUUUCCAUCUCUUCUCUCAUUUACUAACCCUUCCCAAAAUCAGUAUGAUUGAAUUGUCUAUUCAUUAAACUUGGAGAUACCUUAUUAGAAAUGCAGAAACUACACUUCUACUUAAAAGGACUCUCUAAGACAUACUUGGUGUUUGUAGCAUUAAUUAAUCAGAAUUCCAAGCAUAAUAUGCCAUUUUACAUAUGCAGUCACUUUGCUGUGUCCAGGUAGUUUCCUCCUAGUUGUCCAUUGCUUCUGGCUCUUAGAGUCUUCAUCCUGGAUCCCUUAACCUUGGGGUGGAGGUGUGUGACAGGUGUCCUGUUUGAUGAUGAGUGUUCUGCAGUCUGUUAUUAUCUACACCUGAACCGGUGGUGAGUCUUUGUGUUAAUCAUCUACUGAAUAAGUUUCUCUGAUGAGGAUUCAGAUGCAUUAAUUAGUGAGUAUAAGAGUCAGUUUAGCCAGACCAUGGUGGCGCACGCCUUUAAUCCCAGCACUCGGGAGGCAGAGGCAGGUGAAUUUCUGAGUUCGAGGCCAGCCUGGUCUACAAAGUGAGUUCCAGGACAGCCAGGGCUACACAGAGAAACCCUGUCUCGGAAAAACAAAAAACAAACAACAAAAUGAGUUUAAUAUCCAUUUAGUAGAAACAUUGUAGCAGGUUCUUUCCUAGGUUCUAUGAGACACCACAGACUACGAAAGCCCUGCAACAGGAACUAGUUGCCUCUUUUGCAGUUUUUGGCUAUAGAGAUCCUACACAUCCUUACGUUACAGGUUAUUGCCAGUGCUCCUGUUUAUGCUAUAGAAUUUGACUGUAAGAACCUAUUGCUGAAGACACUGCAUACCUGAGUCAUACAACAUGGAACUGCCACUGACCUAGAAGCCUCUUCCUUGUUAGGGUCAUGGAAGGUGCGGUGCGUGCUACCUAGCAAGGAAAGGAGUUUUCUGUGUCCCGGCUGUGAACCAUAUGCUUCUCAACCUUUUUCAUUUCUUUUCACUUAAUUAAAGUCUAUAUUAUUUCCCCCUCCCUCACCUCUGUCCUACCCAUCCGUGUUCAAGUCUGCUCCCAAAUUCACAGCCUUCUCUUUAAACAUUGUUGAUACAUAUAAGUGAAUAACAUAAAUAUGCCUGCUGAGUUCUGUCCAGUGUUGCUUGUCUUCGUGUAAAUAUUUCUAGGGCUGGUUAUCCAAUAUCCAGUACUGCUUUGGUAUUGGAUAACCAUUUGGGGGCUCAUCUCUUAGGAAGACCAAUUUUUCUCAUCAAUUGUUUGUAGCUCUUCAUUGAGGAGUGGAGCCCUGUGAGAUUUCCCCUAUUUAUGUUGGGAUGUCAAUUGUGAUUGGAAUUAUUCAGGUUUCGUUUUCUGUUUUAAUCUUACAGUUGCUCUCUCAGAUCAAAGUUGUAUGGGAAAAAUAUAGACAAAUCAUGCUGAGUAUCAUAUUUCUGUCCUGUAUUAUUAAAUAAGUUCAUUUCUAGAAGUGCUUAACCUAAUUUAUUCCUAAUUAUGGAUGAUUUUUUUUCCAAAUAGUGUUUAUGGUAGUCUUCCCAGGAUGAUUCUUUUAAGAUAAUGGAUCCAACAAUAAAUAUUAUAUUUUGAGAAACUCAA